rnacentral:rRNA from 1 species
CUCUACAGCCAUGCUACCCUGAACAAGCCCGAUCCCUCUGAUCUCGGAAGCUAAGUAGGGUUGGGCCUGGUUAGUACUUGGAUGAGAGACCACCUAGGAAGACCAGAUGCUAUAGGCA